GCGGGCGUAGGCGGUUUUUUAGUCUGAUGUGAAAGCCCACGGCUCAACCGUGGAGGGUCAUUGGAACUUGGAAAACUUGAGUGCAGAAGAGGAAAGUGGAAUUCCAUGUGUAGCGGUGAAAUGCGCAGAGAUAUGGAGGAACACCAGUGGCGAAGGCGACUUUCUGGUCUGUAACUGACGCUGAUGGCGAAAGCGUGGGGAUCAAACAGGAUUAGAUACCCUGGUAGUCCACGCCGUAAACGAUGAGUGCUAAGUGUUAGGGGGUUUCCGCCCCUUAGUGCUGCAGCUAACGCAUUAAGCACUCCGCCUGGGGAGUACGACCGCAAGGUUGAAACUCAAAGGAAUUGACGGGGACCCGCACAAGCGGUGGAGCAUGUGGUUUAAUUCAAAGCAACGCGAACAACCUUACCAAAUCUUGACAUCCUUUGACAACUCUAGAGAUAGAGCCUUCCCCUUCGGGGGACAAAGUGACAGGGGGUGCAUGGUUGUCGUCAGCUCGUGUCGUGAGAUGUUGGGUUAAGUCCCGCAACGAGCGCAACCCUUAAGCUUAGUUGCCAUCAUUAAGUUGGGCACUCUAAGUUGACUGCCGGUGACAAACCGGAGGAAGGUGGGGAUGACGUCAAAUCAUCAUGCCCCUUAUGAUUUGGGCUACACACGUGCUACAAUGGACAAUACAAAGGGCAGCGAAACCGCGAGGUCAAGCAAAUCCCAUAAAGUUGUUCUCAGUUCGGAUUGUAGCUUGCAACUCGACUACAUGAAGCUGGAAUCGCUAGUAAUCGUAGAUCAGCAUGCUACGGUGAAUACGUUCCCGGGUCUUGUACACACCGCCCGUCACACCACGAGAGUUUGUAACACCCGAAGCCGGUGGAGUAACCUUUUAGGAGCUACG
rnacentral:rRNA from 1 species